AUUGAACGCUGGCGGCAUGCUUUACACAUGCAAGUCGAACGGCAGCACAGGGAGCUUGCUCCCGGGUGGCGAGUGGCGCACGGGUGAGUAAUACAUCGGAACGUGUCCUGUUGUGGGGGAUAACUGCUCGAAAGGGUGGCUAAUACCGCAUGAGACCUGAGGGUGAAAGCGGGGGAUCGCAAGACCUCGCGCAAUUGGAGCGGCCGAUGCCCGAUUAGCUAGUUGGUGAGGUAAUGGCCCACCAAGGCGACGAUCGGUAGCUGGUCUGAGAGGACGACCAGCCACACUGGGACUGAGACACGGCCCAGACUCCUACGGGAGGCAGCAGUGGGGAAUUUUGGACAAUGGGGGCAACCCUGAUCCAGCCAUGCCGCGUGCAGGAUGAAGGCCUUCGGGUUGUAAACUGCUUUGUCAGGGACGAAAAGGAAUCGUGAUAAUACCAUGGUCUGCUGACGGUACCUGAAGAAUAAGCACCGGCUAACUACG
rnacentral:rRNA from 1 species